rnacentral:rRNA from 1 species
UGAGCUAACCGGUACUAAUG